rnacentral:rRNA from 1 species
CAGUCGCCACGGUAAUACGAAGGGUGCAAGCGUUAAUCGGAAUUACUGGGCGUAAAGCGUGCGUAGGCGGUUUGUUAAGUCUGUUGUGAAAUCCCCGGGCUCAACCUGGGAAUGGCAAUGGAUACUGGCAAGCUAGAGUGUGUCAGAGGAUGGUGGAAUUCCCGGUGUAGCGGUGAAAUGCGUAGAGGUCGGGAGGAACAUCAGUGGCGAAGGCGGCCAUCUGGGACAACACUGACGCUGAGGCACGAAAGCGUGGGGAGCAAACAGGAUUAGAUACCCCGGUAGUCCCUGUCUCUUAUAC